UCGUCGAUCGUUGCGCUUGCCAGUGAUAUUGUCCUGUCACAGCAGUAUUGUACGUUAAGCAAUUGGUACUGCUGAGCCGGGGCAUUAACAUUGUUGAGCGUCGUUAGCAACCAAAAAGCC
rnacentral:pre_miRNA from 1 species